CAAGGGGUCAGGCCUGCCAGGCAAUCUUCAGGCAGCAGCUGGUAGUCCCUGAGGAAGACAUGAACAAGAAGCCAUUUGAAAGCAUUAUCUUCUAGAAACUAAAUUUCAAAACAAGGAAGAAACCACAGCUCAGAUCAGGGAAGAGAAGGAGGAGACAGAAGAACAGGGAGAGAAAGGCCCAGAAACUCAGGCCAGCCUGUGAGAUAGAGAUGAAGGUUGCUAUCCGGAAAGCAGUCAGAAAUGCUGUCCUGACUCUCCAGAGAGCUUGGUCCUGAGUGCAGGGAGAUAUCUCACAAGAGAAAAACAGGGAAACUGCAUUUCCCGCCUCUGUUGAGUUAGGAGUGGUCAUGUGACUGAGUUUCAGACAACUGGAAAGCGGGCAGAAGAAGUGAUCUGAAAUCAGAGGAUCCGCUGAAGCACUCCAAGUCGCUGCCAGAUGGAAAGUCAUCAUAUGAAUAAAUUCUGUUUCCAGAGGACUGGGUAGAGCUCCUUCCACCCCUACCAACCAGAUGACCUACACUGAACUGUAAUAAAAGAGAAAUAAAUCUUUACCGUGUUAAGCCAA